rnacentral:rRNA from 1 species
UGCUAAGUUGGGGCCAGCGGGCGCGGGAAGACAGAGGGGCCAAGCGUUAGGCGGAAUCAGUGGGCUUAAAGCGUGUGUAGGCGGAAUGGUAAGUACCUUGUGAAAUCCCACGGCUCAACCGUGGAACUGCUUGGUAUACUGCUUUUCUUGAGCCACUUAGGGGCAACCGGAACAAACGGUGGAGCGGUGAAAUGCGUAGAUAUCGUUUGGAACGCCAAUGGUGAAAACAGGUUGCUGGGAGUGUGCUGACGCUGAGACACGAAAGCCAGGGGAGCAAACGGGAUUAGAUACCCGGGUAGUC